CUCCCUCAAGGCCCCAUUCUAAAUCUGUCUUCCUGUCUGUAAAGUGGAUGGGUAAGAAGAUCAACCUUAUAGAGCUUUUUAAUAUACCCAGAAUGUGCAUUAAAAAUGGGCAUGAGAGGAAGACUCCAAUGCUUUGGGUCAAGAUGGACUCAGAGAUGAGAGAAGGGGUGAAGGAUAGCUUCCUGAUCAAAUUGCAACACCUGGAUCCAGCCAGACCUGAAGUUGACCUGCUCCUGGACUUCUCAGUUCUAGAACCAGAAGUCGGAAAUGAAGGUGUUAGCAGUGCCGUGCUCCCUCUGAAGGCUCCAGGGAUGGCUCCAGGGCUUCCUCUCAGCUUCCAGCAAUCCCUGGCAUUCCUCGGGCCGUAGACACAGCACUCUGGCCUCUGCCCGUGUCAUCGCUUGGCCAUCCUCCCUCUCUGUGUCCAUCUGUGUCUUUUCUCUUCUUAUAAGGACACCAGUCAUGUUGGAUUAAGGGCCCACAUACUCCAGCAUGACCUCAUCUCCCUUCAUCCGAUCUGCAAUGAUCCUACAUCCAAACAAGGUCACAUCUCUGCAUCAGACAUGGAUUUAGGGGUACACGACCCCGCCCAGUAGAGUAACCGAAGGCUGUAUGUGCGGCAGGUUGGAAGUCCUCUGUGCAAUAUUGAGAAGGUUGCUCAGCAUCUCUGAGCCCCAGCCCUGACCCCUAAGACAGGGUAACAGAGCCACAGUUUAGGGUGCUCGCAAGGAUCUUCCUGCACGGGCACAUGUAUGGCAAAUGCAAAGCAGUUAGGAUUCCCCAUGCAGUGCAGUUUGCAGAGAACCCCGGGGUCCCCUAUGCUCUCGUUGCCCCUCCUUCCAGCCGUAGCUCCUUAGCCUGUGACUGCUGCUGGGGAGAAGAGGUCCCAAGUGAGAAAUUAUUGGGUGAGGGGGUCGGGAGGUCCCUGGAAGGACAGGGGCCUUGCCUGUCAGUGACGCCCAUGCUUAGAGACCGGAUGCCAAUCCCCUGAGUGGACACAGGCAGUGGAGCUGGAGGUGCUCAGAGGAUGGCACAGAAGGGAUGAGUGGGCAUUCUGAACCCAGGCAUCUGGGGGCAGGCAUGUGGCGGACAGCAGUCGGGCAUCAUGCAGACCCGGCUUGGACUCCAGCCCCACCGUCGCUCACAGCCUGACUGAGCAAGAGGCGGACGGGGCAUGGGAAACCACAGGCUGGUGGAGGACGUGGGGUCUCCCCUACGAGAAAGUCCAAAGAGAGUUAGAGACUGGAGAAGUACUUCAUGAGAUGUGCUGCUGUGGGUGAUGAACUGGCAUCCAGGGAUGGCCUUAAAAAGACGCACAUAAAGCAGGAGCCAGCAGACCACCAUCGACAUUGGUAAAUGAAGUCUUAAGUGGAGCCCAGCCAUGCCCACUCACUUGGGAGUCGUCUCUGCUGCCUUGGAACUAUGAUAGCAGGUUUGUGACAGACAUCCCUGAAAAUGUCCUAACUGUCCCUUUACAGAAAUAGUCAGCUGACCCCUGAGCUAAA